GCAUAGUCGCCUUUUACGGCAAUCAUAGGUUGCUGAAGACCAAGUUUUAGCCCGGAUCUUCACGGGUCUGUCAGAUAUGUGGAGGACAUGUGACUCAAAUGAUGUCAGAUAUAAUUCCCUAUGUCAACUUGUACCAUAUGUUCCCCCGUUUGUUCUAUAUUUCAAAUUACAGGAACCACCAACAAUGCCAUUUUCCAAAGCGAGCACCAUUUCAUCCAGGCUGUUCAAUUAAAGGAAAGUGUUGCAGAACGUGGACUUGGCAGCUCAUAAUGUGAAUUCCACUACCUGUUCCUUCUAAGACAUAGCAUGUACCAGCCUAUAGGUCAUAUAAUCACAGACAUCAUGUGGGAUCUUGUCUCAGUUGCUGAGAUCAAGGAUCAUCUGACCGAGUGUCCAAUAUGUAAAGAACACUUUGAUGAGUCGACACGAAUUCCACGUCGUAUGCCGUGCUGUGUACAGUCCUUAUGUCAACCAUGUCUAGAAACCUGCAGUAGAGGCACAACAGUCUUAGACUGCCCCAUGUGUCGACAUCGACAUUACCUUACAGGCGGUGUUAAAUCUCUUCCCAAAGAGACUGUCAUCCUGAAGUUUCUGGACUACCUCAAGAUCCAGAAAGGUCUCCAUCUUCCAUGUUCAGAUUGUCCUGACAAGGAAACGGCUGUAGCCCAGUGUGACAACUGUGGAACAUUUUUAUGUUCCAUCUGCCUAAAUGCUCACAAACGAAAUAUGGUAACAAAAGCCCACACAAUAAAUACCUUCCACGAGAUGAAGGGCCGACCUGUACAGAGUUUCCGUCGUGUACAUCAGUGUAGUCACCACCAACAACCUCUACAGUUCUACUGUCACACUUGUGACAAGGUUGUCUGUGUGUCCUGCACUGUAGUAGAUCACGAUAAAGGGAAGGGGCACAACGUCCUGUCCGUGGAUGAAGCACACAAAGAAAAGAUAAAAUCCACUGAUGAAGUUUUGGUCAAGAUGGAGGAAAAGACGAAAAGACUGAGCAAAACAGAGUCAGAUCUUAACAUGAAGAUAGAGGACUGUCAAAGCGCGUAUCAAGAGAUGAUAUCAACAGAGUCUUUGACAACUUGAUCGAUGCUCUGAAGCAAAGACAAAAAAUCCUUCUGUCUGAUGUUGAGGAGAAAUCAGCUAAAAGUCUCAAGCUAACAGAGCAGGCGCUGGAUGCAACAAGACUACUGCUGAGGAAUGCGAGGUCAUCUAUAGAAUACACGCGACAGAUGAGCAGCACAGCUGACAGGAUAGAAUACAUGUUGAAGGAGGAGUCACCAAAGGAAAUACCCUUCGUCAUGACUGGAGUUAAUUUUGUCCAAGCAAAUGUAAAACAUCUUCAGGAUACUAUCAAGGUGGCAGGAAUGGUCAGAUCAGUCACGUUCUCCCCAACGGAGACGUCGCAUGGUGUGGAAGAUUCUGCAGCAUACACCGCUAUCAUUGUGGAACCAGCCGAGUUACCUUCAGUGAUCGAGAUGGACCGGAAGAUGUCUGACCAGGAGAUAACAUGCCCGACUCUGGAAUGGGACACAAACACUGCAAAAUGCAUCAUUGACGUAUCUGAAUGUGUAAUCACAAACACACGACCGGCUGUUAUUUCUCCGAACACAGGAUGUCGGAUACGAAAUGCCUGAUCAUGUCUAGCGUCCAGACCUUUGGUGGUCCGAAACAGUCCUGGGCAGCGUUGCAUGUAUGGAAUAAAGUUGCGGUUAUCUAUAAAGACAUUGGUAGGAAGUAAUAAACUUAUACAAGAGAUAGCCCUGACCUCCUCUCCUGAAGAUGCUGUCCGGCCGCAACACAUUGGACUGAGUGUAUAUGUUGCAACAUGCUCCACCCACAACCAACAGCUGUGUCUUCGGGUAAAGUACAAUAAAAAGCUCCUCAAUCACAUUCCACUCACUGAGAACAGAGUUGGACAGUCUUAUGACCUUCAGCUAUACUUUCUACUGGAUGGAGCUAGUGACAAAA
rnacentral:misc_RNA from 1 species